GGUGCUAAUACCGGGUAUACUGCAUAGAUCGCAUGUUUUUUGCAGGAAAGCGGGCCCCUGGAACAAGCUCGUGCUGAUAGAUAGACCUGCGUCCCAUUAGUUAGUUGGUAGGGUAACGGCCUACCAAGGCAGCGAUGGGUAGCCGGCCUGAGAGGGUGACCGGCCACACUGGGACUGAGAUACGGCCCAGACUCCUACGGGAGGCAGCAGUGAGGAAUAUUGCGCAAUGGACGAAAGUCUGACGCAGCAACGCCGCGUGAGGGAUGAAGCUUUUCGGAGUGUAAACCUCUGUUAGGAGGGAAGAACGUCUAUUAUUCGAACAGGGUGAUAGAGUGACGGUACCUCCAGAGAAAGCCCCGGCUAACUCCGUGCCAGCAGCCGCGGUAAUACGGGGGGGGCGAACGUUGUCCGGAAUUAUUGGGCGUAAAGGGCGCGUAGGCGGGAAGGUCAGUCAGAGGUGAAAGCUUGUGGCUUAACUGCAAGUUUGCCUUUGAUACUGCCAUUCUUGAGUUCGGAAGAGGGAAGUGGAAUUCCUGGUGUAGCGGUGAAAUGCGUAGAUAUCAGGAAGAACACCGGUGGCGAAGGCGGCUUCCUGGUCCGAUACUGACGCUGAUGCGCGAAAGCGUGGGGAGCAAAUAGGAUUAGAUACCCUGGUAGUCCACGCUGUAAACGAUGGGUACUAGGUGUUGGGUUUAAUUACUCAGCGCCGGAGCUAACGCAUUAAGUACCCCGCCUGGGGAGUACGAUCGCAAGAUUGAAACUCAAAGGAAUUGACGGGGGCCCGCACAAGCGGUGGAGCAUGUGGUUUAAUUCGAUGCAACGCGAAGAACCUUACCUGGGCUUGAACUGUAGGUGACGUAUCCUGAAAGGGAUAUUCUCUUCGGAGCACCUAUAGAGGUGCUGCAUGGCUGUCGUCAGCCCGUGCCGUGAGGUGUUGGGUUAAGUCCCGCAACGAGCGCAACCCCUGUUCCUAGUUGCCAGCAUUUAAGGUGGGAACUCUAGGGAGACUGCCCCGGACAACGGGGAGGAAGGUGGGGAUGACGUCAAGUCAUCAUGGCCCUUACGUCCAGGGCUACACACGUGCUACAAUGGCCGGUACAACGGGAAGCAAAGCUGCAAAGUGGAGCGGAUCCCUUAAAACCGGUCUCAGUUCGGAUUGUAGUCUGCAACUCGACUGCAUGAAGUCGG
rnacentral:rRNA from 1 species